GCCGUCGUUGACCAGAGGCAGGUCGUUCUCGUUACCUAGAGGCGAAACGGAUUGAUACGAGUUGUGCGGAGGUUCGAUUCCUCCCGACGGCC